rnacentral:piRNA from 1 species
UUGGUUUAGGUUUCAGAAGGGUGCUG